AUUGAACGCUGGCGGCAGGCCUAACACAUGCAAGUCGAACGAGUGGCGGACGGGUGAGUAAUGUCUGGGGAACUGCCUGAUGGAGGGGGAUAACUACUGGAAACGGUAGCUAAUACCGCAUACCAUCGGAUGUACCCAGAUGGGAUUAGCUUGUUGGUGGGGUAACGGCUCACCUAGGCGACGAUCCCUAGCUGGUCUGAGAGGAUGACCAGCCACACGGGAAGUGAGCCACGUCCCAGACUCCAAGGGGAGGCAGCAUGGGGGAAUAUUGACAAAGGGGGGAAAGCCUGAUGCGGCCAGGCGGGGGGUAUGAAGAAGGCCUUAGGGUGUAAAAUUACUUUCAGCGGGGAGGCGUUACCCGAAGAAGAAGCACCGGCUAACUCCGUGCCAGCGGCCGCGGUAAUAC
rnacentral:rRNA from 1 species